GCCCCGGGCCUGGCGCGCCUGCUGCGGCCUCAGCGGCACCCCCGGAGCGCGCGCUCGCGUGCAGUCGGACCCGCCCGCGCUGCCCCCGCGGACCUCCCCACGGCCGCGGCCCCCCCGCCCCGGGCUGCCCGCCCUUCUUGACUGCGCCGAGCAAAUGCAGCUGGGCCCGCUCGAACAUCCUGUGUUUGUUGCUGGCAUCCGUGAAAUGGUGAGAGGACCCAGACCCUUCACAGAUCCUGAAACUACUGGUCUACCUACGAGAAUCAUGAUGCUGUUGGCCUAAUCUUCACCUCCCUAUGCUUGUCCUUCUGUGAAAAGAAGAUAAGAGAGGGGAUGAGUCAAGUAACAUAAUAAACGUCUGAGAAGGUUUCUCUUAGCAGAAAAAAAGCUAAAGAUCAAGAUCUGGAAAGAAUAGCAAAUCUCUUCACCAAGAAACAGUCAAGAAAAUUACUGCUCUCCUAGCUCAAAGAGAAACAUUAAUUAAAGAAACACCACUGACACCUGGCACCCGUGCUGCUCAGAACUGGGUUCCAGAAGCACCGCCAUUCCCCGCCCUGGGAACUGGAUCCCCCACCACCUGGACUGCGCCCAAACCUAGGCGCAUCUGCUUCCUCACAUGCUCUCUCCAGAUCUGUCUCCAAAGGAUAGUUCCUCUGGUUGGAGGAAACGAGGUCACGUGCCUGCCCCCUACUCUGGGGAGUCUGAGAUUGCAAGUGUUUGGCUUCCUCAUUGGGAAGGCCUCCUGGAACACUCCUUUUUGUUAGUCAGCUUCUGUACUGUGAAGAAGCCUAAGAAACCCUGUGGAGAGGUCCACCUGGAGAGGAACAGAGGCCACCAAAUGACAGAUCUUUGGAGAACGAUGCAAGAUUCAAGAUUUUCUGUGAUGAUAUAUCUAACAACCCCUACACAGACUCAGCAUAAUCUCCUACAAUAGCGACCACAAAAACAAGCACACACAAAACCUUCUUUUUGGUCCUCUCUCCAUUUUUUGUCCAUCGGAUCCCAUAAUUAUUUACCUAAUUAUCCCACCUUUUCGGAGUCCAUUUUCCCAUUAUUUAGUAAAAGAAUUACACAUUCAUCGUAGCCACAUCUUCAACUGGACUAUGUUCUACAUAAAAUUAAAGAUGAUUUUCAAGGAAAAUAAUAAAGUCAUACAUUUGAAGUUUGAUGGUUAGGCUUUAAAAAGAGAAAUUAGUGAAGUAAGUUGUUUGAAGGUCAAAAAUGUUGCAACUUAGGGAUCCCUGGGUGGCGCAGCGGUUUGGCGCCUGCCUUUGGCCCAGGGCGCGAUCCUGGAGACCCGGGAUCGAAUCCCACGUCGGGCUCCCGGUGCAUGGAGCCUGCUUCUCCUUCUGCCUAUGUCUCUGCCUCUCUCUCUCUCUCUCUCUGUGACUAUCAUAAAUAAAUAAAAAUUAAAAAAAAAAUGUUGCAACUUACAUACAUGAUGAAGAUAAAAAGAACUCCUGGUCAGAACUCCUGAGGAAUCCUAGAAGUAAUGUGAAACUCAAGCUGCGAAUCUGAAAAGGAAUGUAAAGUAUUAACAAGUACUACCAAUGUACCAUCAUCAUUACCUAGAAAUAUUUUCCCCUUGCUUCUGAACAUCAUCCAUUUUUAUCUGGAUUAUAACAGCUCUUCUAUCUGCCUUGUUUUUCUGGCCAGUGGAAUAGAUGAGUCAUUUCACCAUCUGGGCUAGAGGAAAGGGAGAUGUAUGGCUGAAUAAAGCUGAAUAUUAUCUGUGUAAUGAUGGCCCUGUGGUCCAAAAUAUCUCUCUUUCUCAGUGUCCUCAUCCACACUUAGUCUCUCUCCAAAACAAAAUUAGGGGGUAUUCUACAAGAGCAAUUUCUGGCUACUUAUUCCCAGCUCUAAGUCAACAUUUCCAAACUUUUGGUAAUAGGAAGUCCAUGCAACAUUGACUUUUUGAAGGUUUGGUGAUGGCUGAAAAGGUUGGAUUAAAUUAAUUUAGCAAAACACAUAGCAGCAUUUUUUUUUUUUUGAAGUGCCAUUCAGAAUCCCCCAAAGCAAGAUCAGCACUUGAGGAGGAAAAUGCCAGUCUUUGCUUAGAGGUGGAGUUAGGGUUGACCAAAUGCGUGUUUUCAAUUUAUCGUGUGUGUGUGUGUGUGCAUGCGUGUGUGUACACGCAUGUAUACUCUGCUAAAUACCAGGGUACAGUGGUGAACAAAGUAGAUAGUUAUCUUGUCCUCAUAGAGUUUAAAGAUGAGUGGAAUCAAACAUGUAAAUACAUACACAUAUAUAUCAAGGAAUCUGAGACCUCUAUUUAAAACCUAAUGGGAGGGGAUCCCUGGGUGGCUCAGCGGUUUGGCCCCUGUCUUUGGCCCAGGGCGCGAUCCCGGAGUCCCGGGAUCAAGUCCCACGUCGGGCUCCUGGCAUGGAGCCCGCUUCUCCCUCUGCCUGUGUCUCUGCCUCUCUCUCCUCUCUCUAUGACUAUCAUGAAUAAA
rnacentral:lncRNA from 1 species